rnacentral:rRNA from 1 species
GAGGAAAAGGAACCAACAGGGAUUGCCCCAGUAACGGCGAGUGAAGCGGCAACAGCUCAAAUUUGAAAUCUGGCCCUCGGGUCCGAGUUGUAAUUUGUAGAGGAUGCUUUUGGCGAGGUGCCUUCCGAGUUCCCUGGAACGGGACGCCAUAGAGGGUGAGAGCCCCGUCUGGUCGGACACCGAGCCUCUGUAAAGCUCCUUCGACGAGUCGAGUAGUUUGGGAAUGCUGCUCAAAAUGGGAGGUAUAUGUCUUCUAAAGCUAAAUAUUGGCCAGAGACCGAUAGCGCACAAGUAGAGUGAUCGAAAGAUGAAAAGCACUUUGAAAAGAGGGUUAAAAAGUACGUGAAAUUGUUGAAAGGGAAGCGCCUAUGACCAGACUUGAGCCCGGUGAAUCAUCCAGCGUUCUCGCUGGUGCACUUUGCCGGGCCCAGGCCAGCAUCAGUUUGGCGCGGGGGAUAAAGGUGACGGGAAUGUGGCUCCCUCGGGAGUGUUAUAGCCCGCUACGUAAUACCCUGCGCCGGACUGAGGUACGCGC